UACGUAGGGGGCAAGCGUUGUCCGGAAUCAUUGGGCGUAAAGAGCGUGUAGGCGGUCCGGUAAGUCGGUUGUGAAAGUCCAGGGCUCAACCCCGGGAUGCCGACCGAUACUGUCGGACUAGAGUUCGGAAGAGGCGAGUGGAAUUCCCGGUGUAGCGGUGAAAUGCGCAGAUAUCGGGAGGAACACCAGUGGCGAAGGCGACUACCUGGCCUGUUCUUGACGCUGAGGCGCGAAAGCUAGGGGAGCAAACGGG
rnacentral:rRNA from 1 species